GCUUCCGGAGGCGCCUACCCUCCAGCCAUUUCGGUUCCGUCUUUUUUCUUCUUUUUCUAACGCCUCAGGCAUUUCGGCUGGAGGAGACAGGAAAACACAAUAACAGCCAGUGGUGACUCAUCUUAGAAGAAAAAAGAACAGGCUGACAUGGGCCUGAGUCAUCCAGGGUGGCCAGCGACGGUCUUACCGAGAACCCGAACCCGGGGAUGACAAGGAGCAAACCGAGGAAGAAUGCAGGGAGGGAAGAAUGUCCCCGGCGAGGGAACCUUCCAGUAACGGCGCAUGCCUCUUGGGAGUAGCAGGAGUGGAAGUUAGAGCAGCAGGCGAAGACCGGUGUUUGCCACGCUUCUGGUUUUUCUUCACCUGGUGACGUUUCAGCCGUGUUCAAAUGAAGUGUUCAAAUGAGAGAGUUACAAAACUCUCAAAUGAUAUUGUGUUAUACAUUGUAUAUGUAUCAUCUAAAAAACAAUAGUUGUAUGUAAUAACUUCUUAAAACUCAGGAUCUGGAUGGCCAUUAAGGUUGUUUAAACAGAAAUAAACAAGAUGGUAAAAACCACGUGAAUUUUUGUCCCUAAUAUAAGCAUAGUUAAGAUUUUGAUGUAUGUCCCUCCAGAAUUUAUUACAAGAUUUAGCUCUGUAUUCCUUAAGUUGAUUUUUGUUAGAGUAGGUAUGAAAGAAUAUAAAUGGCUAGCGGUGUGAAAGACAGAACAUCACCCUCAUUUUUGAACUGGGAGACUUGUCCAGUAGACGGGGUAACUCAGGCCUCAGGCUCAAAAUAGUUUUAGGAGCACACAAAUAUGUUUUAACUUCUUAUAAAAUUAGGAGGGGGACGUGUGAGAUUUGGGGUUGAAGGGAAUCUUUUACUAUACAACCUUAAUAUUAUUUGUAUACCAACACAGUCAUAAUUUUUACUAUUUUUUUUAUGGAGGAAAAUGCCAUGAAGGCAAAAAAUGCCUGGGGCCACAAAAGUCAUAAUUUCAUCCUGUGUCUGAAACCCUCUAUGGGCCUUUCUUUAUAAUCUUCCCACAUUUGAUUUUAUAUGUAGACAACAUAAUACAUUUUGCAUGCUUUUAAACUUUGUAUAUGGAGUUAUAACGAAUGCAUUGUUCUGCAAAUUGCUUUUUAUACUCAACAUUGUGUCCUGAGACUCAUUGAACCAAAGUACAUUUAGGGGUUGUAUCCCAAAGUGUAGUGAGGAACCCUGAGCAUUUUCUGAUUGUUAGACCUGCCCUCUUCCACUGGAGAAACUGUUUCAGAAAUUUUAUGCCCGGCGGUCUUAAUCGCAAACUCUGGCUUGACUGUUUCCUGCACCCGCCUGUAUCCAUGUGCUAAUAGGAAAUAACAGUCUCACACCGCCCUAAGGUCUGAAUGCAAAUUAGGCUCCAGAGCUGACUAAUGAACUGUGUCCCAUAAUCAGCCAAUACAAAUUAGCAGGACUGCAUCCCUCAUUUACACAGGAAGACCUGAAUGGGAACUUGGGCGGAAAGUCAGGGCGGGAAUUUUGGCUAUCUGUUUCCUUUGUUCGGAGAGACGCUGAUCUAGGAGUCUUCACUCCCCAGCGCUCCCCUUGCUUGCAAGCAAUAAAGCGCUGUAACGUCAAAAAGAGCUGUAACACCAAAAAGAGCUGUCAACUAUUAAAAGAGCUAUGAAACCAA